rnacentral:rRNA from 2 species
AGAGUUUGAUCCUGGCUCAGGAUGAACGCUAGCUACAGGCUUAACACAUGCAAGUCGAGGGGCAGCAUGGUCUUAGCUUGCUAAGGCCGAUGGCGACCGGCGCACGGGUGAGUAACACGUAUCCAACCUGCCGUCUACUCUUGGACAGCCUUCUGAAAGGAAGAUUAAUACAAGAUGGCAUCAUGAGUCCGCAUGUUCACAUGAUUAAAGGUAUUCCGGUAGACGAUGGGGAUGCGUUCCAUUAGAUAGUAGGCGGGGUAACGGCCCACCUAGUCUUCGAUGGAUAGGGGUUCUGAGAGGAAGGUCCCCCACAUUGGAACUGAGACACGGUCCAAACUCCUACGGGAGGCAGCAGUGAGGAAUAUUGGUCAAUGGGCGAGAGCCUGAACCAGCCAAGUAGCGUGAAGGAUGACUGCCCUAUGGGUUGUAAACUUCUUUUAUAAAGGAAUAAAGUCGGGUAUGGAUACCCGUUUGCAUGUACUUUAUGAAUAAGGAUCGGCUAACUCCGUGCCAGCAGCCGCGGUAAUACGGAGGAUCCGAGCGUUAUCCGGAUUUAUUGGGUUUAAAGGGAGCGUAGAUGGAUGUUUAAGUCAGUUGUGAAAGUUUGCGGCUCAACCGUAAAAUUGCAGUUGAUACUGGAUAUCUUGAGUGCAGUUGAGGCAGGCGGAAUUCGUGGUGUAGCGGUGAAAUGCUUAGAUAUCACGAAGAACUCCGAUUGCGAAGGCAGCCUGCUAAGCUGCAACUGACAUUGAGGCUCGAAAGUGUGGGUAUCAAACAGGAUUAGAUACCCUGGUAGUCCACACGGUAAACGAUGAAUACUCGCUGUUUGCGAUAUACAGCAAGCGGCCAAGCGAAAGCGUUAAGUAUUCCACCUGGGGAGUACGCCGGCAACGGUGAAACUCAAAGGAAUUGACGGGGGCCCGCACAAGCGGAGGAACAUGUGGUUUAAUUCGAUGAUACGCGAGGAACCUUACCCGGGCUUAAAUUGCAGAUGAAUUACGGUGAAAGCCGUAAGCCGCAAGGCAUCUGUGAAGGUGCUGCAUGGUUGUCGUCAGCUCGUGCCGUGAGGUGUCGGCUUAAGUGCCAUAACGAGCGCAACCCUUGUUGUCAGUUACUAACAGGUUCUGCUGAGGACUCUGACAAGACUGCCAUCGUAAGAUGUGAGGAAGGUGGGGAUGACGUCAAAUCAGCACGGCCCUUACGUCCGGGGCUACACACGUGUUACAAUGGGGGGUACAGAGGGCCGCUACCACGCGAGUGGAUGCCAAUCCCAAAAACCUCUCUCAGUUCGGACUGGAGUCUGCAACCCGACUCCACGAAGCUGGAUUCGCUAGUAAUCGCGCAUCAGCCACGGCGCGGUGAAUACGUUCCCGGGCCUUGUACACACCGCCCGUCAAGCCAUGGGAGCCGGGGGUACCUGAAGUGCGUAACCGCGAGGAGCGCCCUAGGGUAAAACUGGUGACUGGGGCUAAGUCGUAACAAGGUAGCCGUACCGGAAGGUGCGGCUGGAACACCU